rnacentral:ncRNA from 1 species
CACAAAGGCUUGGUCCUGACUUUACUGUCGGCUCUAGCUAAACUUACACAUGCAAGUAUCCGCACCCCCGUGAGAAUGCCCCCAUUUCCCGCCCGGAAACAAGGAGCCGGUAUCAGGCACGGCUAGCGCCAGCCCACGACACCUUGCUUAGCCACACCCUCAAGGGUCAUCAGCAGUGAUAAACAUUAAGCCAUGAGUGAAAACUUGACUUAGUUAAAGCUAAGAGGGCCGGUAAAACUCGUGCCAGCCACCGCGGUUAUACGAGAGGCCCAAGUUGACAGACAACGGCGUAAAGAGUGGUUAGGGAAAUUUUUAAACUAAAGCCGAACGUCCUCAGAGCUGUUUAACGCUUCCGAGUUAAGAAGCCCCACUACGAAAGUAGCUUUACCCCACCUGACCCCACGAAAGCUGUGAAACAAACUGGGAUUAGAUACCCCACUAUGCUCAGCCCUAAAAUUUGAUAGGCCCCUACACCCCCUAUCCGCCCGGGUACUACGAGCAUCAGCUUGAAACCCAAAGGACUUGGCGGUGCUUCACAUCCGUCUAGAGGAGCCUGUUCUAGAACCGAUAACCCCCGUUAAACCUCACCCUCCCUUGUUAAUACCGCCUAUAUACCGCCGUCGUCAGCCUACCCUGUGAAGGACUAGAAGUGAGCAAAAUUGGUAUAGCCCAAAACGUCAGGUCGAGGUGUAGUGUAUGAGAGGGGAAGAAAUGGGCUACAUUUCCUAAACCAGGAAACACGAAUAAUGAACUGAAAUAAGCGUUAGAAGGUGGAUUUAGCAGUAAGCAGAAAACAGAGUGUUCCGCUGAAGAUACGGCAAUAAAGCACGCACACAUCGCCCGUCACUCUCCCCGAGCCUAUCCUAACAAUUAAUACCUAAAGAACUAUACCUGCAAAGGGGAGACAAGUCGUAACAUGGUAAGCGUACCGGAAGGUGCGCUUG